rnacentral:rRNA from 1 species
GACGAACGCUGUCGGCGUGCCUAAUACAUGCAAGUAGAACGCUGAAGGAGGAGCUUGCUCUUUCCGGAUGAGUUGCGAACGGGUGAGUAACGCGUAGGUAACCUGCCUGGUAGUGGGGGAUGACUAUUGGAAACGAUAGCUAAUACCGCAUAAUAGUAGAUGUUGCAUGACAUUUGCUUAAAAGGUGCAAUUGCAUCACUACCAGAUGGACCUGCGUUGUAUUAGCUAGUUGGUGAGGUAACGGCUCACCAAGGCAACGAUACAUAGCCGACCUGAGAGGGUGAUCGGCCACACUGGGACUGAGACACGGCCCAGACUCCUACGGGAGGCAGCAGUAGGGAAUCUUCGGCAAUGGACGGAAGUCUGACCGAGCAACGCCGCGUGAGUGAAGAAGGUUUUCGGAUCGUAAAGCUCUGUUGUAAGAGAAGAACGAGUGUGAGAGUGGAAAGUUCACACUGUGACGGUAUCUUACCAGAAAGGGACGGCUAACUACGUGCCAGCAGCCGCGGUAAUACGUAGGUCCCGAGCGUUGUCCGGAUUUAUUGGGCGUAAAGCGAGCGCAGGCGGUUAGAUAAGUCUGAAGUUAAAGGCUGUGGCUUAACCAUAGUACGCUUUGGAAACUGUUUAACUUGAGUGCAAGAGGGGAGAGUGGAAUUCCAUGUGUAGCGGUGAAAUGCGCAGAUAUAUGGAGGAACACCGGUGGCGAAAGCGGCUCUCUGGCUUGUAACUGACGCUGAGGAGCGAAAGCAUGGGUAGCGAACAGGAUUAGAUACCCUGGUAGUCCAUGCCGUAAACGGUGGGCGCUAGGUGUGGGUUUCCUUCCACGGGAUCCGUGCCGUAGCUAACGCAUUAAGCGCCCCGCCUGGGGAGUACGGCCGCAAGGCUAGAACUCAAAGGAAUUGACGGGGGCCCGCACAAGCGGCGGAGCAUGUGGAUUAAUUCGAUGCAACGCGAAGAACCUUACCUGGGCUUGACAUGCACUGGAUGCGGCCAGAGAUGGUUGUUCCCUUUGUGGCUGGUGUGCAGGUGGUGCAUGGUUGUCGUCAGCUCGUGUCGCGAGAUGUUGGGUUAAGUCCCGCAACGAGCGCAACCCUUGUCUCGUGUUGCCAGCAUUUGGUUGGGGACUCGCGGGAGACUGCCGGGGUUAACUCGGAGGAAGGUGGGGAUGACGUCAAAUCAUCAUGCCCCUUAUGUCCAGGGCUUCACACAUGCUACAAUGGCUGGUACAGAGAGUUGCGAUACCGUGAGGUGGGGCUAAUCUCGUAAAGCCAGUCUCAGUUCGGAUUGGAGUCUGCAACUCGACUCCAUGAAGUCGGAGUCGCUAGUAAUCGCAGAUCAGCAAUGCUGCGGCGAAUACGUUCCCGGGCCU